rnacentral:ribozyme from 1 species
CUUUGUUUGUUUUUCUUUUUUUUUUCUCUUUGUUUUCUUUUUUUUUUUUUUUGGUUUUUUUGUGUUUGUGUUUUGUGGGGAGGGGUCGAAAUGACAGAUGUGGCAGUGAGUCAGGCUUCGAAUGUUCUUUCGAGUGAAGAAGAAGAGAGUGAUGAAGAUGAAAUUUAUGAUGAAUCAAGUGACGAGGAUGAAAAGAAAACUGAAGAAGGAGAAAAAGAUAAAAAUGGUU